rnacentral:ncRNA from 1 species
ACAACGGCUUUGAGUCGGGAGAGUAAUAUUAUGUGCUUUUUCAGAGACAGGCGGAUUUGCUGGAACUGCCUGACUGCACCUGAUAUGAAGGACACUCGGUGAGCCGGCGGGUGAAUAAAAGCCCGUCCGCAUAUCUGCGUUAAAGAUGUAUGAGGCCGCACUGCGGCAAAUACGGGUGGUACCACGGUUUUACAGUCGUCCCGAAU